AGUAGAUUGGGAAACUCGUCAAUUUUUACUGAAAUGCCGAGAACAAGCUUAGCCGACCGAUGGCGGGCCUCGAUUCCCGCCCUGCGCGGGGAAGCCUUAGAGCCGGAGGAUUACAAAGGGCGGCGAGCACUCAAAUCCUGUCUUUUCGGAGUUUCAUCGCAUCCUUUGAUGUGGCC
rnacentral:sRNA from 1 species